rnacentral:lncRNA from 1 species
GUAUCAGACACCGCCGUGGGCAAGCCAAGUUAAUGCGCCUUCAGCUCAUAACCCUGCUAGACACAAGCAAAAUGACUAGAUGAGAAAGUUUAUCCUCUCUUAUGCCUGAAAAAUCAUACUGUACUUGUAAGUUUACUACCUUUUCCCAUGUGUCUUCUUGUUUCUCUAGCUUCACAAAGUUAGAGCGGCCACCGGUAUUGAUGGAGGAAAAAAAACUCUUUGUAGAAGAGAAGAAACCAAACUGUUCACUGAUUGCCAUCUGCAGUCACAAAAGCAUUCGCCAUAAAUACCAGGAUGCCAAUACUAUAUAGCAUUAUUAAGAUACAGAAAUAUAUGAAGUUUGUAUCUACUACCUAAUCGACAACUUGAGCCUUUUGUGUGCUGCUAUUCUCAACAGGAGUGGGAUCUGCCCGAGCAGAAAUGGCCACAACAGGAGUUGUCACCUGCAGGUUUUCACCUGAUGAUUGCAUGGCAUUAUUUAACGGCAUGACACUGCAAUUGCAAAAAAAAGAUUGGACAAAUUAAGGCAUGUCAUUUUAGGAAAAUGAAUGAAAGUUUGCUUUGCAUAGUUUCUCUAACAAAAUCAUUUUCCUCAUUUCUGGUACCUACUUUUUGUAACGCGGGUUCAAUUUCCAGUAAACGUACACACCCAUCCAAGAAACAAAGCAGUAUACCUCAAUUCUGUGUAGCUCAAGUUCCACAAAUAACCAGCCGUGUAUUUCCU